CCAAAGGUCUACGAAGGUGUUCGGGUGAAGAUCACGGUAAAGGAAUUGCUGGAAAAGCGCAGAGCUCGUCAAAUGAAAUUGUCAUCGGAAUAUGCAAACUCUUGGUAUCAAGAUGCUGUUGCCACACCUUUCUUAAGUCUGGUGCCAGAGCCAAGUGCACAACCCUGGCCCUGUGAAGACAACCCCAGUGACUAUGGGACAGAGUGUCUCUCAUUAUACAGUGAUAACUUCAGCUCAGCUCAACAGACUGAACCUGCAGCAUACAGUGAACCCUGCAACUACACUCAUCAACAGCCCUGGUCCCUUGGACAUAUAUUGCACAAGGACUAUUGGGAAGGACAGGCCUCCUGGUCAUCGUUAGAGACUUGGACUCCGGCCUGCACUCCUUUGGACACCCAUCAUCUCCCCUCCUCACUACAAGAAUACUCAGACCCUGUGGAUCCCACUUACAUAUCACUUAAUACAAAUGUCACUCAAUAUGAUACCUCUGUGUACUCAAACCAUACUGAAUCGACCUCUACAAUACAGUGGAUGCCCUGACCUAAGUAGCACAGGUUAUUAUGGGUCAACUUUGGACAACUGUUAUUAUAAAUGGCAAAUGUCAAGCAUGAGUCAUGUUUAAAUACAGAGUUUGUGGAGGGUGGCAGGGAGAUGGUACCAACCUGAGGUUUAGGGCUGGCAGGGUCUACCAGCUGUGUGUGUGAGUGUGUGAGAGAGAGAAAGUGAGAUAAGUUACUUUUUUUUUAAUAGAUUGCCAUAAUUAUUUUAAGUCAAUAAAAUGAAACUGAAAAAGGUUGUCGUUGUUGAUCAUCCAGAGCUGUAGUUUAUCCAAGUAUGGUUUAGAAACUCUGGUUUAUCUAUCUUUUUCCCCAUCCAUCUAUUCAUUAUAUUUCUAUGGCCCAAAUCCACCGACAGCAUCGGUUACUGGGACGCAAAAUCGGUUGUUAGGCUAAGGACCCAUAUUAAAUUUGCUGUCUUCUCAGUAGCCUGCCUCAAAUGUGUAUAACGGUUUAAU